CCCUUCACCUGACAGCUUCUUCACCACCUAAAAAAUUAAUAUACAUGUAUAUUUACAUAUAUAUACAUACCAUAUGCGAAUUCCCCAAAUGUGGGAAUCUCGACUGCAUAAUUUCUGGUAGUGGGGGACUGCGUUCGCGUUCUCCCCUG
rnacentral:snRNA from 1 species